AACGAUCCAAAACCCUGUAAUUGCACUCUGUGAAAUCGAAAACGCAAAGUGGAGUUCACUGUAUUUGGAUGAUUUUGGGGUUUAACUUGAUCUCACACCCGGGCCUGCCUUGUCUUUAUCAUUCGUUUGAGUGUUGCAAGCCAGAAGUUACACUCAUCCCACUCGCUUGUCGUAAGCAAUACUUGGAUUUGCAGGGCUGUGCUGAAAUCAUUUUUAUCUAAUGCCUGACACAGCUGAACAAGUUUAUCAGAAGCAUUUUUUGAUAUAUCUCCACUGUUGAGCUUCGCAAACAAGGCACCAAUUUUCCUUGAAUUAUCUUCUAUUUCACGUUUUCUAGCUGGAUUUGCACGUGAACCUCCCAAAGCUUCUGACGUCUCUUUA
rnacentral:misc_RNA from 1 species